UUUGUGUUCCCAUGUUUUCUGCGUUAUUCCAAGCAAAAUUUGGAUUGCCCAACAAAUGUUUGUUUUGAAGGAUCAAAUCCUAUUUUGAUAACUCUCUUAACCCCUUCUGCAAACUUGAAGGCUUUUAAGCACAUAAUCAAGGGAUGAUAGGUGACUGAUAGAGAAAUGUCGCUCUAUACUUUUGAGGAUAUACAAUGUAGGAUCAGUUAUCGCCCUAUACUUCAACCCAACAAGUCUGGAUUCCUAGAAAAAAAAAAAAAUAUAGAAAGGCCUGAUCUUUUAAUCCCUAUAGAACACAGAAUCUCAAACUUGGGCAAAGUGUCUUUUUAAGAUGGCUAAAGGCUCCAUAGCCAGAUCUUAACAAAUUUGGAGAUGUGGGAAUUGCCGAAUCCAUAUUCCCCAAGAAGCAAGUACUGAGUCUGGUUUUUCAGGGGUUUCAAAACAUAUUCUCGUAUUCUUAGAGA
rnacentral:misc_RNA from 1 species